GCCUUCGUGGUGUAAUGGUAGCACACUCGGCGCGUAUUCGAGAUAUACAGGUUCGAAUCCCAGCGAAGGCG
rnacentral:tRNA from 1 species